CAGCCGGGGUCCCGGCCGGGCCUCCCGCUCCGCGGCCUGGUGGCUGGAGUUGUGGCCGCGAAGUUGGCUCCGGGCAGGAGCCACAUCGAAGGCGUGGGAGGGGCGCUGCUCCAGACGCCAGCGUCCCAAGAGAAAUGGGACCUGAAAGGACGUCGCGCCAAAGCCGGGCCAGCCACUUGCUGCGCGCAACUGGGCGAGGGGUGGCACUAGCCUAAAGCCUCUCCCGGGGGAAGCACGGCCCUGUUCCUCUGACCCGCACUUCUCUGAAAAUCCUCAGCUACUGGACUCCAUCUCUACGAGCAGGCGAAGGCUGGGAGUGCACCUGGAGUGGACAGAGCACAUGCUGACCUCGGGGCUUCCUCCCCAGUGGGCCAGCAACCCGAGAAAUCCGUAGAGAGCGCGCCCAGGCCGACCUCCGCCAGACAGGCGGCACAGCCUGCAGCCUGAGACUGCUGCUUCUCAUGAGGGAAGCUCGUGGGGUUUGUCCAGUCUAAAGCUACAAGGGCGUGCCUGAGAGAUGGCAGCAGUGGACAGACGUGGCCAAGCUUGAUAUAUGGUUGGAAGGGUAUACAGCACAUAGCAAUGAGGGUGCCAGCUGCUUGGUGAUACUGGGCACAGCACCUACUUCAGCAGACUGUUUCUGCAUUUCUCAAAGGAGCUGCUGGGACUGCCUCAUCUCUUCCAGUACUAUCUUUCUGUGGUUUUACGCUCAGAGAGUACAUUUCCCUUCUGGAUUUAAGGACUUCCUGGAAACCCUUCAUGAUUUAGCUGUCGCCACGCCACAAAGCGCUAAUUCAGCAUUAAGCUGUAGGUAUACUGGUGCAAUAUCUAGAACAAAGCAGAGGUGUUUUCCUCUAUCCUGAGUUAGACAGUUGAAAUACAGAUUAGGACACCAUGUAAGAGAAAAACCAGUAUGCAACUGGAGAGCAGGAACUUGGAAUGUUUGAUCUGCCAAGUGAGCAAGAUAGGUAAAACAAGAACAAACUGCUGUCCUGUAAACCAAGUCCUGAAAACCAAGACCACACAAAGAGGGUAAGAUGAUGCAGGCACUUCCUGAAGGCUCCAAAGGGAGCCAAGGAGGGAAGCAGGAUCUGAGCAGAGGGAGGAUCAGCAACAAGGCAGGCAGGUGUGCCCUCCGAAGCAACCUGAGGCAGGCAUCAGGCGCCAGGUGGGUGAGAGUGCUCGGGGGAGCAUGUGAUAAAGAGGUGAUCUAGCUCGAGGAGGAGGAAUGAACUUUAGGAGGGCAAGAGCCAAGAGUGAGUAACAGAGCUAAAAAGCUUGAAGGGGUGGCUGGAUAAACCAUGCUCGGAUCACACAACAGGCAGAGAACAUCUCACGCUCCUGUGUGUGCUCUACAGGACACAUGGUCAGAGAAAGCAGCUGCAGACUAUGCUCGCUGCUUUCUGUAAGAGUCAAAACUGCCAAGGGACAUGUGUGUGUUUAUAUUUUCAAAAAGAAUCAACAGAAGGAAACGACAGGGAAAGAGACAAAGGGAGGGAGGGGUACACAGAGGGAAGCCAAGCUCAUCUGAAAUGUUAUUUGUAGCUUUGCAUUUAGAACCAUGUAAAUUGGGGAAGAAGAAACUCUAGAAAUAAAUACUAAAGCUGAAA